GAGUUUGAUUCUGGCUCAGAUUGAACGCUGGCGGCAUGCUUUACACAUGCAAGUCGAACGGCAGCGGGGAAGUGCUUGCACUUCUGCCGGCGAGUGGCGAACGGGUGAGUAAUGCAUUGGAACGUACCGGGUAAUGGGGGAUAACUUGCCGAAAGGUAAGCUAAUACCGCAUACGCUUUAAGAAGGAAAGCGGGGGAUCAUUUGACCUCGCGUUAUCCGAGCGGCCAAUGUCUGAUUAGCUAGUUGGUGGGGUAAAAGCCUACCAAGGCGACGAUCAGUAGCGGGUCUGAGAGGAUGAUCCGCCACACUGGGACUGAGACACGGCCCAGACUCCUACGGGAGGCAGCAGUGGGGAAUUUUGGACAAUGGGCGCAAGCCUGAUCCAGCCAUGCCGCGUGUCUGAAGAAGGCCUUCGGGUUGUAAAGGACUUUUGUACGGGAAGAAAAAGUUGUGGUUAAUACCCAUGACUGAUGACGGU
rnacentral:rRNA from 1 species